GGGAGUGAGGCGAACAUGGCUGAAAGCAGCCGGGGUGGCUUAACGUGUAGCGGGGUGGGCGGCGGACAGGACCCGGUCUCCAGCAGUGCCGGCUGCAGCUUUCCAGAGUACGAGCUUCCCGAGCUAAACACGCGCGUUUUCCACGUGGGCGCCUUCGGGGAGCUGUGGCGUAGCCGGCUGCGCGGGGCAGGAGACUUGUCGCUGACGGAGCCGCCGGCACCCGCGCUGCCCGGGCGCCGAGGGGUCGCCGACUCCGGCCGGGAGGAUGCCGCGGUGGCCCGGGAUCUGGGCUGCAGCCUGGAGGCGGCAGCGGAGCUGAGAGCGGUGUGCGGCCUUGAGAAACUGAAGUGCCUUGAAGAAGGUGAGGAUCCAGAAGUCAUCCCGGAGGAUACUGACCUAGUGACUUUGGGGGUUAGAAAGAAGCUCCUAGAACAUCGAGAAGAAACCAUAACAAUAGAUCGGGUCUGCAGACAAGAAACGUUUGCUUACGAGAUGGAGUCACAUGCCAUAGGAAAAAAGCCUGAAAAUCCAGCAGACAUGAUUGAAGAAGGGGAGCUUAUCCUAUCUGUGAAUAUCUUGUACCCUGUUAUAUUUCAUAAGCACAAAGAACACAAACCAUAUCAGACGAUGCUGGUGUUGGGCAGUCAAAAGCUCACAGAACUGAGAGAUUCAAUUUGCUGUGUCAGUGACCUCCAGAUUGGUGGGGAAUUCAGCAACACUCCUGACCAAGCACCUGAGCACAUCAGCAAAGACCUAUACAAAUCAGCCUUCUUUUAUUUUGAAGGAACAUUUUACAAUGAUAAAAGAUACCCUGAGUGCAGAGAUUUGAGCAGAACUAUCAUUGAGUGGUCAGAGUCCCAUGAUAGAGGCUAUGGAAAGUUUCAGACUGCUAACAUGGAAGAUUUCACCUUCAAUGACUUGUAUAUUAAACUGGGUUUUCCUUACUUGUACUGUCACCAGGGAGACUGUGAACACAUUCUUGUCAUUACCGACAUAAGGCUUGUGCAUCGUGAUGACUGCUUGGAUAGGACACUUUAUCCCCUUCUUAUCAAAAAGCAUUGGCUGUGGACCAGAAAAUGUUUUGUUUGUAAAAUGUACACAGCCAGAUGGGUGACGAACAAUGACAGUUUUGCACCAGAGGACCCGUGUUUCUUUUGUGAUGUUUGCUUCCGAAUGCUUCACUAUGAUUCAGAAGGCAACAAACUGGGAGAAUUCCUCGCUUAUCCUUACGUUGAUCCUGGAACCUUUAAUUAAUAACAGUGUACCCUUGUAAAAUAACUGUACUCUUGCAUGGUGAUUUUAUUUCCAAGAACGCCACUAAGGAACAGGAUCCACCCAAAACAAUCAGCUCAAGUUACCUGCCCCGUGCCCCCCAACCACCUAAAGUUAAAAUCAGAGACUUAUAAAGUAACUUGAUUGUAUUUAAAUGUUUACAAAUAUAGUUAUUUUAGUAUUUAUGCCAAAGUAUAGUUUUUAUUUAGUGCUUUCUGCCCAGUUUUGAGUGAGUUGUUUAUCUUACUGAGUUGUAGCAGUGCUUUAUAUGGUUUGAAUACAGAUCCUUUGUCAGAUGCAUGUAGUCUGAGUUUCUCCCAGUCUUUGGCUUGCCUAUACAGUCUAUAUGCAGAGUGCUUUUCAACUCAUCUAUCAUUAGCCAAUUCAAUUAAUGAUACAUCAAGUGGUGGAAGUGUUUUGAAAAUUCUUUGAAGAAUGUGAGACCUACACCUUAGACCAUGAGGCUUCCAAGGUUGUCUUUAAAUUGGACUGAAUUCCACAUUUCCUGGAUGUCUAAGAACAGACAUUUACCAUAUAAAUCAAAAACGGAUUAAGCCUAUAAACCUAUGUGUUUGAAACGUUGACAGUGAAAUGUUUUAUGGACUCAAAUGCCACAUAUCCAGUUCAGCCAACUGGUGUGUAGAGGACAAGCACCUGUUUCUGGUAUGUCUAGUGGUGUUCUCAUUCACUGACUCUGUCAAUACACUGGCUUAUGUUACUGCCUAAAUUUUUACUUUCUUAUUUCCAGUGACGCUAAAUUGAACAGACUGAAAAUUCUCCUGGAAAACCAUAGAUUUACCCAAUUCCUAAAAGUUCCACAGGUAGAAAUGAAUUUUUGCUUCCUUUAUUUUUAAACUGCAUUCCUUAUAGGUCUUGCGUUAGUAUGCAAGGGUCUGUGUACUAUCAUUUUUGUCAUUUCAUAUCCUCAGAAUGACAAAUCCCGGAAAGUGAACUGACAUAAUGGAAGCAUUAAUCCAUGUGUGGUGCCAAUCAGUUCAUUUUAGUAGACAAAAGAAAGACUGUCAGUUAAAACAUUACUGCUAUUGAAAUUCUUGUUGUAUCCUUUAUUGAGAAUAUUAUCCUGCUGUUCAUUAACUUUUUCACUGAAGUUACAAAGGCUCAGAUAUCUUUCUGUGUCAUUUCCUGGUGAAAUCUAGAAAGGAAAACCUAAGCAGGUUACUCCCAGAAUUUGCCAGUGUAUCAGUUAUACAGGUCUCCCACCAAGUACAAGUCAAAAGAAUCUCCUCAAUUUGAAAUAGGCAUAAAAGAUGUCUUGAAUGAGGGAUUUUAUACCUGCGAAAUUCAAUAUUAAACACAACAUGACUGUUAAAGUACAAGUAUCAGUUUAUCUAUGAAGAAAAGCAAAUAUGAAAAUGUGAACUUACCAACAUCCUCUGUAGUUAGAAAUGAAUUAGAUUUUGAUUAAAUAGUGGAUGGUCAUGCACAAAAUCACUACUUAGAAAAGCAAUACCCAUUUCCUUAAACAUCCUUUUCAGGCUUCAGUAUCCUCAAAGGAUAAUUUGACCUUUCUCCCAAUCAAACUGCAGUCUUUAUCAUCUCUAAGGUUAGAGAAUUACACAGCACAAAUAUAAAAACAUUUCUGCCCAUAAAGUAGCUUCUUCAUUUCUUAAGGUGUAAUGGGUUUGCUGUUUCCAAUAGAUCAUAGUUUCUCUAGCCGAUGGAACAAAAUAGGUUGUUGGUGAAGCCCUCACAAAGCCUUUGCUUUUGUAUAGGACUAGAUGGCAGACCUCAUCUUGACCUGACAUCUUCAGCCGGGUAAGUGUGUGUGGGUAUGCCACAAUCAGUGUGCCAGCAAAAACUGAGUAAAAUCUAUCAUCCUACUAAACCACAGGAUAUAACAACAAUUGUAAGGUUUUCCAAGCUGUUUACACGUACAAAAUCGCAUUCAGGUUCUCCAAUUCAGAUAGUACAUCUGAAAUUUCUCCAGGGCAGCUGAGAAAACCUUCAACAAUCGAUUCUGCUGGGUCAUGCAUAACUUACUCUUUUAAAUGUUAUCCAAUGGGUUAAAAAGCAGCACGAAAUAGGUGGUGUUUAUACAUACAAAAUAAAGUUGUGUGUUUUUUUUGCUAGCUAUCUCAUAAAUUAUCUCUUAGUGACUUGUUCAGCUGUGGAGUUUUGACCAAAUACACAAUUUAAAUUGAGCCAGUGCUCCUGAAAGUGGUCAUCUGUGAAUGAACUUAAUGACAUAGAGAAACAUUUCUUAAAAUGAGGGUUAAAAGAGAACGCAACUGUGUUUUAACACUACAUAAAUCAACUGGUUAGAGCAAGGUCAGCCCACACAAGCAAAC